CAGCCGCCACGGUAAUACGGAGGGGGCUAGCGUUGUUCGGAAUUACUGGGCGUAAAGCGCACGUAGGCGGCUUGGUAAGUUAGAGGUGAAAGCCUGGAGCUCAACUCCAGAAUUGCCUUUAAGACUGCCGAGCUAGCAGGUGAGAGAGGUAAGUGGAAUUCCGAGUGUAGAGGUGAAAUUCGUAGAUAUUCGGAAGAACACCAGUGGCGAAGGCGGCUUACUGGCUCAUACUGGACGCUGAGGUGCGAAAGCGUGGGGAGCAAACAGGAUUAGAGACCCCUGUAGUCCCUGUCUCUUAUAC
rnacentral:rRNA from 1 species